CCACAAAAGGGGGCAAAGUAUCAAAGGGUUGCAACGCCUGGACCUUCGAAACGAAUUAUCUAUCGUCAAUCUCGAGAAUGUGAGAAGUAGAGGGGAAGCAGAGGAGGCAAAUUUAAUGGGAAAAGAUAAGCUUAAUUUGUGAAGUUUGCUUUCAAUGGUUGUUAUGGUUUUAUGUGGUUGAGGGGAAUUCUUUGUAAGCAAAGAGACCAGAGGAAAAGAGUUUGUAACC